rnacentral:rRNA from 1 species
GGAUGAACGCUAGCGGCAGGCCUAACACAUGCAAGUCGGGCGGUAGGGGACUUCGGUCCCCGAGAGCGGCGCACGGGUGCGUAACGCGUAUGCAACCUGCCCUACACAGGGGAAUAGCCCGUCGAAAGGCGGAUUAAUGCCCCAUGGUCCCGAGAGGUGGCAUCACCUUUAGGGUAAAGGUUUACCGGUGUAGGAUGGGCAUGCGUGCCAUUAGCUGGACGGUGGGGUAACGGCCCACCGUGGCGACGAUGGCUAGGGGUUCUGAGAGGAAGGCCCCCCACACUGGGACUGAGACACGGCCCAGACUCCUACGGGAGGCAGCAGUGAGGAAUAUUGGUCAAUGGGCGGAAGCCUGAACCAGCCAUGCCGCGUGCGGGAAGAAGGCGCUACGCGUCGUAAACCGCUUUUGUCCGGGGGUAACCGCGGGGACGAGUCCCCGCCUGCAAGUACCGGACGAAUAAGGGUCGGCUAACUCCGUGCCAGCAGCCGCGGUAAUACGGAGGACCCGAGCGUUAUCCGGAUUCAUUGGGUUUAAAGGGUGCGCAGGCGGCCCGGUCAGUCAGCGGUGAAAUGCCCGCGCUCCACGCGGGAGCUGCCGUUGAUACUGCCGGGCUGGAGUCUUAGCGAGGCGGGCGGAAUG